rnacentral:rRNA from 1 species
CCUACGGGUGGCAGCAGUAGGGAAUUUUCGUCAAUGGGCGCAAGCCUGAACGAGCGAUGCCGCGUGAGUGAAGAAGGCCCUCGGGUCGUAAAGCUCUGUUGCGGGGGAAAAAAGGCAGCAUCAGGAAAUGGGUGCUGACUGAUGGUGCUCCGCCAGAAAGUCACGGCUAACUACGUGCCAGCAGCCGCGGUAAUACGUAGGUGGCGAGCGUUAUCCGGAAUGAUUGGGCGUAAAGGGUGCGCAGGCGGUCCUGCAAGUCUGGAGUGAAACGCAUGAGCUCAACUCAUGCAUGGCGUAGGAGACUGGAGGACUGGAGUGCAGGAGAGGGAGGUGGAAGUCCAGGUGUAGCAGUAAAAUGCGUAGAUAUAUGGAAGAACACUAGUGGCGAAGGCGGCCGCCUGGCCUGUUGCUGACGCUGAGGCACGAAAGCGUGGGGAGCAAAUAGGAUUAGAUACCCGUGUAGUC